GUGGCAGUGGACUAGAAAAACUAGACCUGGAAAUCAAAUACUUUAGCAUUUUCUACCAUUAGUAAGAGUACUGAAUGAAAUCUACUGAUUAGCUUGUUUUCUGAAGAAUUCGAAAGACAGUCCCUUAGUCAAUGAAUCAACUCAAGAAAUAACUGCUUGAUAAGGCCUGACAGAUGUAAUGACAUUGUGACCACCGGAGAAAACUUCACUCGAAAAAGUGCUGUUACUGCGGUCGAAUCAUCUUCUUCAAAUAAACCUUCAAGAGAUCAUUUGGGACAUCUUUAUUGAAUCAUACUUGAGAUAAGAAUAAUGUGGACAUCUUUGAAGUCAACAAAUCCCAUGUCAAUCAAUGAAAAU